UUUUUUUCAUUUUCAUUUUUCCGCUCCUCUCCUUCCCCUUCUCUGCUUCUUCUCUGGUUCUUCUCUAACAAGUCGCCGCUGCUCUUCCUCUUCCUGCCGCGUUGCCGCUGCUCUUCAUCUCCUCUUCCUUCCGCGUCGCUCCUCCUUCCCCCACCGCCGCUGAGCUCUACCUUCUUCUACAUGGAACUAAUUCAGUGGUUUCUGUCUAUAUCAAAUUGAACGAGGCUUCCUGGGAAGAUCUUUUGAAAGACCUUGUUGAGAUGUGUCGUGUUGUUUAACAUCCUAUUCAUGGUCUUUUCUCGAGAAGCUGGUUGCAAGUGACAAGAGACAAGCUUCCUGAUAUUGUCUAACAGAAUGAAGGGUUUAUUGCUGUAAAGGUCUUCGAUUAUCAACUCUACAUGACUUGGAAGACUUUUCUACGUUCAUGAAUUUGAUAUUGAAGGGGUUAUGCCACGGGAACUACUCCUGUUACUGAAGUAAGGUCCAAGUAUCAAGCAAAGCCAAUUGACAGGUGUAAACGUGCGAUGAAGGAUGAAAUUAAGGGUUAUUUACCUUCAUCCGAAGAUAAUCAGGUAUUCAAUAAUCUGAGGAAGCGGCCUUUCACCUUUGACGAGAUAGAUGAAGUUCGAGAAAUGUUGGCAAACUCCAUUACUAGUGAUUGUAUUUGAUAUUUUCUUGUACUGAAUCUUAAAUUAUUGAUGCUAGUUUUUCAUAUAAUUGUAAUAUAAACGACUUUUAUAUUUACAAUUAUAUACUAUUAAAUUUAAUUAUCUAUAUAAUUGGAUAGUUUUUAUAUAAUGUA